rnacentral:rRNA from 1 species
UACGUAGGGGGCGAGCGUUGUCCGGAGUUACUGGGCGUAAAGGGCAUGCAGGCGGUCGGACGCGUUUUGUGUGACAGGCGGAUGGCUUACCUAUCCGAGCAUACGAAAGACGGUUGGACUUGAGGACUCGAGAGGGACACGGGAAAUUCCGGGUGGAGUGGUGAAAUGCGUAGAGAUCCGGAGGAACACCGAAGGCGAAGGCAGUGUCCUGGCGAGUGACUGACGCUGAGGUGCGAAAGCCAGGGGAGCGAACGGG